rnacentral:rRNA from 1 species
AGAUCUUCGGAUCUAGUGGCGCACGGGUGAGUAACGCGUGGGAACCUACCUUUUAGUUCGUAAUAACAGUUGGAAACGACUGCUAAUACCGUAUACGCCCUCCGGGGGAAAGGUCUGCCGCUGAAAGAGGGGCCCGCGUCUGAUUAGCUUGUUGGUAGGGUAAAAGCCUACCAAGGCUACGAUCAGUAGCUGGUCUGAGAGGAUGAUCAGCCACACUGGGACUGAGACACGGCCCAGACUCCUACGGGAGGCAGCAGUCGGGAAUAUUGGACAAUGGAGGAAACUCUGAUCCAGCAAUGCCGCGUGUGGAUGAAGGCCCUAGGGUUGUAAAGCACUUUCAACGGUGAAGAUGAUGACGGUAGCCGUAGAAGAAGCCCCGGC